CGCCUCCCGGGGCUCCCCAUGGAAACAAGCCGCGCUCCGCUUCCUAUUGGUUGUCAAUGUCUUUCAGUAGAUCAGAUAGCUGCUGGUAGUCAAUCACGCCCGGCUGCAGGCGGUUUGCACGGGUAGACUCGGUAUCAGUUAUUUUGCAGCAACGUCAGUAAACAUCCAGUUGAACCAGUACUGGACAGUUUGAGUUGAAAUCCCUGAAAGUGAAGUUUACCAUUCUGAGAAACUCUUGACUGAAAGCUGGACAUAUCGGAAGCCAGUAGUGCUCACGCUGGUGCCAUCUUGGAUCCAGGCAGGGUUCCAUUACCAGGCAGGUGAAACUGAUGUGAAGUGAAGCGUGGUGUCAUUCCUGCUGAACUCCACCAAGGAUGGAGAAGUGCAGGUCAAGUGCUGCUGCCCACCCAUCGGACUCUGAGAAGUGGCCUGUAUCUCUAAACAAAUGAUCGUCAGAGAAUGUAGAUCAUAGCAGAAUUACCAGAAAAACAGCAAUAAACUUUGAAUUUGAAUUACCCUCUGUAUUAAUGGUGCAGUAAAAAUAAACUUGCUUGUCUUGGUCUGGAUGUGGACCAAAUUACGUCCUAUGAGUAUGUCUUCUGAGUUCCUAACUUCUUUGUCCCAUAUUUUUGCAAAGUCAAAAAUGAAAUUAAGUAUUAAGGCAAAGUCCACAUUCUAUCUUAAAACAAAUGGUCAUCUAUUGUUUUGCAUAAAAUGAAAUGCAAAACAAAUUGUACUUUUACUGUAUGCACAACAAGAUACAUAUCACCACCAGAACAUGAUUAAACAAGUAAAGCCUUUAAUUGUUUCUUUCAGUUUCCUCAGUCAGUACUGGUGGAUGCAACAACACGGCGUGAGAGCCACAGUGAAACAGAAAGCGGAAAAAUAAUACAUACUGUGUACAAAAAUACAACCUCACUGUACAAAUGCUGCACUUUACAAAGCACAAAAAAACUAGGGAGACAUGGAUCUUAGUCUCCACAUCACAGAUGGGACUUUUAAAGAAACAGCCAGCCUAACAAUCAUUCUCAGAAAACAUGCAGAAGUGCAUUUAAAAAAAAAAAACACUGCUCUAAUUUGUAAAACAUUUUAAAAAGAUGAAAAGUUUAUGCUUUUGGUGAUGAAGUGAAGGCAGUACAAAUACGCAGAAAUAAAUCACUACCAGUGCCGACGAAGGUGCUUUUAAGGGUUAAUUGGCACAUAGGAAGUGACAACAAAAAUACCUCUGGAAAACUGUAAAUGUUAAGAUAAAUUAAUGCACAAUAGAUACUAUAAGUCUAUUUAUUUUGAGACCGUGGUGUUUAAUGUUUACUUCCAAGAGCACAAAACAGGUUGUUAUGAAUUUUUAGUACUUGACUGCAGUCAAGAGGAGAAACUUGAGCUCACACUAAACAACUGAAAAUCAGCUGCAAAAUCCACUAACGCCAGCUCUGGCAGCAGAAACCUUUUUUAAACUCUAUCAUGCAUCAGGUGUGUGCAAAAAUACAGAAGAACAGCAUAAAUAGCAAAACAUGAUUAAAUUAAUAAAUACAUAAUUUAUGGUUUGGUUGUUCAAAUUGGCACAGAGCACAACAGCAAAAAAUAAAAUCUUUUUUUUUUUUUUUUUU